CGGGGACCUAGAGUUUGAUCAUGGCUCAGGAUGAACGCUAGCGGCAGGCCUAACACAUGCAAGUCGAGGGGUAACAGGGUCUUCGGACCGCUGACGACCGGCGCACGGGUGCGUAACGCGUAUACAACCUACCUUUUGGAGGGGAAUAGCCCGGGGAAACCCGGAUUAAUACCCCAUAGUAUGGUGAUCUCUCCUGAGAUUAUCAUUAAACAUUUAUGGCCAUUAGAUGGGUAUGCGUCCUAUUAGUUUGUUGGUAAGGUAACGGCUUACCAAGACUACGAUAGGUAGGGGUCCUGAGAGGGAGAUCCCCCACACUGGUACUGAGACACGGACCAGACUCCUACGGGAGGCAGCAGUGAGGAAUAUUGGACAAUGGGCGAGAGCCUGAUCCAGCCAUGCCGCGUGCAGGAAGACUGCCCUAUGGGUUGUAAACUGCUUUUAUACGGGAAGAACCUCCACUACGUGUAGUGGCUUGACGGUACCGUAAGAAUAAGGAUCGGCUAACUCCGUGCCAGCAGCCGCGGUAAUACGGAGGAUCCAAGCGUUAUCCGGAAUCAUUGGGUUUAAAGGGUCCGUAGGCGGAUAAAUAAGUCAGUGGUGAAAGUCUGUGGCUCAACCAUAGAAUUGCCAUUGAUACUGUUUAUCUUGAGUUAUUAUGAAGUGGUUAGAAUGUGUAGUGUAGCGGUGAAAUGCAUAGAUAUUACACAGAAUACCGAUUGCGAAGGCAGAUCACUAAUAAUACACUGACGCUGAUGGACGAAAGCGUAGGUAGCGAACAGGAUUAGAUACCCUGGUAGUCUACGCCGUAAACGAUGGUUACUAGCUGUUCGGCCUAAUUAAGGGCUGAGUGGUUAAGCAAAGUGAUAAGUAACCACCUGGGGGAGUACGUUCGCAGAAUGAAACUCAAGGAUUGACGGGGGCCGCACAGCGGUGGAGCAUGUGGUUUAAUUCGAUGA
rnacentral:rRNA from 1 species